UGGGGUACAGCUCAAUGGUAGAGCACUUGCCUAGCAUGUAUGAGGCCCUGAGUUCCAUCCCCAGUACUUAAA
rnacentral:tRNA from 1 species